UGUCAAGUUUCGAAGGGCAGACGGUGGAUGCCUUGGCAUCUGGAGCCGAAGAAGGACGUGGCAAUCUGCGAUAAGCCUCGGGGAGCCGGUAAGCGGGCUUUGAUCCGAGGAUCUCCGAAUGGGGGAACCCGGCCGGGCUUUGUCCCGGUCACUCCGGUCUGAAUUGAUAGGGCUUGGAGGGGGAACGCGGGGAAGUGAAACAUCUCAGUACCCGCAGGAAGAGAAAACAACAGUGAUUCCGUGAGUAGUGGCGAGCGAAAGCGGAUGUUGGCUAAACCGGUUGUGUGUGAUAGCUGACGGGCGUUGCAUGGCUGGUGUUGUGGGGUCUCCUUCGUCGUUCCGUUAGACGGCGUGGGUUUUGCGUGGUGUAGCCGAACGGUCUUGAAUGGCCGACCGUAGUGGGUGUGAGUCCCGUAGGUGAAACGCCGCGUGCGCCUGUGGAGUGUCCCCGAGUAGCACGGGGCUCGUGGAAUCUCGUGUGAAUCUGCCAGGACCACCUGGUAAGCCUGAAUACUCCCAGAUGACCGAUAGCGGACGAGUACCGUGAGGGAAAGGUGAAAAGCACCCCGGGAGGGGAGUGAAAGAGUACCUGAAACCGUCUGCCUACAAUCCGUCGGAGCCUCCUUGUGGGGUGACGGCGUGCCUUUUGAAGAAUGAGCCUGCGAGUUAGUGAUAUGUGGCGAGGUUAACCCGUGUGGGGGAUCCGUAGCGAAAGCGAGUCUGAACAGGGCGUUCAGUCGCAUGUCCUAGACCCGAAGCGAGGUGAUCUAUCCAUGGCCAGGUUGAAGCGCGGGUAAGACCGCGUGGAGGACCGAACCCACUUAGGUUGAAAACUGAGGGGAUGAGCUGUGGAUAGGGGUGAAAGGCCAAUCAAACCUCGUGAUAGCUGGUUCUCUCCGAAAUGCAUUUAGGUGCAGCGUCAUGUGUUUCUUUCCGGAGGUAGAGCUACUGGAUGGCUGAUGGGCCCCACAGGGUUACUGACGUCAGCCAAACUCCGAAUGCCGGGAAGUGAGAGCAUGGCAGUGAGACAGUGGGGGAUAAGCUUCAUUGUCGAGAGGGCGACAACCCAGACCACCGACUAAGGCCCCUAAGCGUGUGCUCAGUGGGAAACGAUGUGGAGUUGCAGUGACAACCAGGAGGUUGGCUUAGAAGCAGCCACCCUUGAAAGAGUGCGUAAUAGCUCACUGGUCAAGUGAUUCUGCGCGGACAAUGUAACGGGGCUCAAGCACACCGCCGAAGUCGUGGCAUUCGCGUGUAUGACAGGCCUUCGUGGUCCAGUCGCGCGGAUGGGUAGGAGAGCGUCGUGUGGGCGGUGAAGCCGCGGGGUGACCCAGCGGUGGAGACCACACGAGUGAGAAUGCAGGCAUGAGUAGCGAAUGACGGGUGAGAAACCCGUCCUCCGGAAGACCAAGGGUUCCAGGGCCAGGCUAAUCCGCCCUGGGUAAGUCGGGACCUAAGACGAGGCCGACAGGCGUAGUCGAUGGACAACGGGUUGAUAUUCCCGUACCGGUGAAGAACCGUCCAAGCCGACCCAGUGAUGCUAAGAACCCGAAUCCUCAGGCCUGCCCUUCGGGGCGGGAAUGAGGCCUAGCGUUCGACCCUGUCUGGUGAGGCUAGCGUGUUUCAGGUGUGACGCAGGAAGGUAGCCUCCGCGGGGCGAUGGUUGUCCCCGUCCAAGGAUGUAGGCCUGGGAGUUGGCAAAUCCGCUCCCUGCAUGGCUGAGAUCUGAUGGUGAGCACGUCAGUGCGAAGUGGGUGAUCCUAUGCUGCCGAGAAAAGCAUCGACGUGAGGUUCCAUCCGCCCGUACCCCAAACCGACUCAGGUGGUCAGGUAGAGAAUACCGAGGAGAUCGAGAGAAUCGUGGUUAAGGAACUCGGCAAAAUGCCCCCGUAACUUCGGGAGAAGGGGGGCCCGUCCAGGUGAGUGGCCUCGCGCCGCGAGCCAGGGUGGGCCGCAGAGACCAGUGGGAAGCGACUGUUUAUCAAAAACACAGGUCCGUGCGAAGAAGCAAUUCGAUGUAUACGGACUGACGCCUGCCCGGUGCUGGAAGGUUAAGAGGAAGAGUCAGCGGCCUCGUGUCGCGAAGCUCAGAAUUCAAGCCCCAGUAAACGGCGGUGGUAACUAUAACCAUCCUAAGGUAGCGAAAUUCCUUGUCGGGUAAGUUCCGACCUGCACGAAUGGCGUAACGACUUCCCAGCUGUCUCAACCGCGAACUCGGCGAAAUUGCAGUACGAGUAAAGAUGCUCGUUACGCGCAGCAGGACGGAAAGACCCCGUGACCUUUACUAUAGCUUGGUAUUGGUAUUCGGUACAGUCUGUGUAGGAUAGGUGGGAGACGUUGAGACCCGGACGCCAGUUCGGGUGGAGUCGCUGGUGAAAUACCACUCUGACUGUUUUGGAUAUCUAACCUCGGCCCGUGAUCCGGGUCAGGGACAGUGCCUGGUGGGUAGUUUAACUGGGGCGGUUGCCUCCCAAAGAGUAACGGAGGCGCCCAAAGGUUCCCUCAACCUGGUUGGCAAUCAGGUGUCGAGUGUAAGUGCACAAGGGAGCUUGACUGUGAGAGAGACAUCUCGAGCAGGGACGAAAGUCGGGACUAGUGAUCCGGCAGUGGCUUGUGGAAGCGCUGUCGCUCAACGGAUAAAAGGUACCUCGGGGAUAACAGGCUGAUCUUGCCCAAGAGUCCAUAUCGACGGCAUGGUUUGGCACCUCGAUGUCGGCUCGUCGCAUCCUGGGGCUGGAGUUGGUCCCAAGGGUUGGGCUGUUCGCCCAUUAAAGCGGUACGCGAGCUGGGUUCAGAACGUCGUGAGACAGUUCGGUCCCUAUCCGCUGCGCGCGUUGGAAAUCUGAGAGGAUCUGUCUCUAGUACGAGAGGACCGAGAUGGACCAACCUCUGGUGUGCCAGUUGUUCCGCCAGGAGCAUGGCUGGUUGGCUACGUUGGGAAUGGAUAACCGCUGAAAGCAUCUAAGCGGGAAGCCGGCCUCGAGAUGAGAUUUCCCAGCCCUUCGGGGCGAGAGGACCCCAGCAGACCACUGGGUUGAUAGGCCGGACGUGGAAGCCCCGCGAGGGGUGGAGCUGACCGGUACUAAUAGUCCGAGAACUUGACAACACCACACACCC
rnacentral:rRNA from 1 species